AUAUCAAUAAGCGGAGGAAAAGAAACCAACAGGGAUUGCCCUAGUAACGGCGAGUGAAGCGGCAACAGCUCAAAUUUGAAAUCUGGCCUUCGGGUCCGAGUUGUAAUUUGUAGAGGAUGCUUUUGGUGCGGUGCCUUCCGAGUUCCUUGGAACAGGACGCCUUAGAGGGUGAGAGCCCCGUACGGUUGGACACCAAGCCUUUGUAAAGCUCCUUCGACGAGUCGAGUAGUUUGGGAAUGCUGCUCUAAAUGGGAGGUAAAUUUCUUCUAAAGCUAAAUACCGGCCAGAGACCGAUAGCGCACAAGUAGAGUGAUCGAAAGAUGAAAAGUACUUUGAAAAGAGGGUUAAAUAGCACGUGAAAUUGUUGAAAGGGAAGCGUUUAUGACCAGACCUUUGUCAGGCGGAUCAUCCGGUGUUCUUCACCGGUGCACUUCGCCUGGCUUAGGCCAGCAUCGAUUUCUGUAGGGGGACAAAGACCAUGGGAACGUAGCUCUCUUCGGGGAGUGUUAUAGCCCUAGGUGUAAUACCCUUACGGGGAUCGAGGUUCGCGCUUCUGCAAGGAUGCUGGCGUAAUGGUCAUCAAUGA
rnacentral:rRNA from 1 species